rnacentral:piRNA from 1 species
UGGCUUGACUCACUGGCUACAUAAUAUUUGU